UUUUUUAACGCUUUAUGUCAUAAACACAAACAUCACUCAACCGCUCAGGUCCCGGGCGCAAGCGAGCUAAUGUAAACCUUACUUGAAAGUGUGAAGCUGUACUUAACAGCGUCCGCCAUAACACCUAUAGCUGUCCUUGGUGCUGUGGGCACAACUAGUAAUUACCACUUUAGGUGUUCUUGGCGUUCAAAAGGUUA